rnacentral:rRNA from 1 species
UACGUAGGGUGCAGGCGUUAAUCGGAAUUACUGGGCGUAAAGCGUGCGCAGGCGGUUUCUUAAGUCAGAUGUGAAAGCCCCGGGCUUAACCUGGGAACUGCGUUUGAAACUGGGAGACUUGAGUGUGGCAGAGGGGGGUGGAAUUCCACGUGUAGCAGUGAAAUGCGUAGAUAUCGGAAGGAACAUCAGUGGCGAAAGCGACUUCCUGGACCAGUACCGACGUUCAGGCACGAAAGCGUGGGGAGCAAACAGG